rnacentral:rRNA from 1 species
GAUGAACGCUGGCGGCGUGCCUAAUACAUGCAAGUCGAGCGAACGAACGAGAAGCUUGCUUCUCUGAUGUUAGCGGCUGACGGAUGAGUAACACAUGGAUAACCUACCUAUAAAACUGGGAUAACUUCGGGAAACCGGGGCUAAUACCGGAUAAUAUUUUUAACCGAAUGGUUCAAAAGUGAAAGACGGUCUUGCUGUUACUUAUAGUUGGAUCCGCGCUGCAUUAGCUAGUGGGUAAGGUAACGGCUUACCAAGGCAACGAGGCAUAGCCGACCUGAGAGGGUGAUCGGCCACACUGGAACUGAGAAACGGUCCAGACUCCUACGGGAGGAAGCAGUGGGAAAUUUUCCGCAAUGGGCGAAAGCUUGACGGAGAAACGCCGGGUGAGUGAUAAAGGUCUUCGGAUCGUAAAACUCUGUAAUUAGGAAAGAACAUAUGUGUAGGUAACUGUGCACAUCUUGACGGUACCUAAUAAGAAAGCAACGGCUAACUACGU